GUGCCAGCAGCCGCGGUAAUACGGAGGGUGCAAGCGUUAAUCGGAAUUACUGGGCGUAAAGCGCACGCAGGCGGUUUGUUAAGUCAGAUGUGAAAUCCCCGGGCUCAACCUGGGAACUGCAUCUGAUACUGGCAAGCUUGAGUCUCGUAGAGGGGGGUAGAAUUCCAGGUGUAGCGGUGAAAUGCGUAGAGAUCUGGAGGAAUACCGGUGGCGAAGGCGGCCCCCCUGGACGAAGACUGACGCUCAAGUGCGAAAGCGCGGGGAGCAAACAGGAUUAGAUACCCUGGUAGUCC
rnacentral:rRNA from 1 species